UAUUGCGCAAUUGGGGAAACCCUGAUGCAGCGACGCCGCGUGAGUGAAGAAGCGUUUCGGCGCGUAAAGCUCUGUCAGCGGGGAAGAANCACGGCUCGCGAGAGCCGCGGACGGUACCCGAACAAGAAGCUCCGGCUAACUACGUGCCAGCAGCCGCGGUAAUACGUAGGGAGCAAGCGUUAUCCGGAAUUAUUGGGUGUAAAGGGUGCGUAGACGGGACAGCAAGUUAGUUGUGAAAGCCCUCGGCUUAACUGAGGAACUGCAACUAAAACUAUUGUUCUUGAGUGCAGGAGAGGAAAGCGGAAUUCCUAGUGUAGCGGUGAAAUGCGUAGAUAUUAGGAGGAACACCAGUGGCGAAGGCGGCUUUCUGGACUGUAACUGACGUUGAGGCACGAAAGUGUGGGGAGCAAACAGG
rnacentral:rRNA from 1 species